rnacentral:rRNA from 1 species
GAUGAACGCUGGCGGCAUGCCUAAUACAUGCAAGUCGAGCGAAUGGAUUAAGAGCUUGCUCUUAUGAAGUUAGCGGCGGACGGGUGAGUAACACGUGGGUAACCUGCCCAUAAGACUGGGAUAACUCCGGGAAACCGGGGCUAAUACCGGAUAACAUUUUGAACCGCAUGGUUCGAAAUUGAAAGGCGGCUUCGGCUGUCACUUAUGGAUGGACCCGCGUCGCAUUAGCUAGUUGGUGAGGUAACGGCUCACCAAGGCAACGAUGCGUAGCCGACCUGAGAGGGUGAUCGGCCACACUGGGACUGAGACACGGCCCAGACUCCUACGGGAGGCAGCAGUAGGGAAUCUUCCGCAAUGGACGAAAGUCUGACGGAGCAACGCCGCGUGAGUGAGGAAGGCUUUCGGGUCGUAAAACUCUGUUGUUAGGGAAGAACAAGUGCUAGUUGAAUAAGCUGACACCUUGACGGUACCUAACCAGAAAGCCACGGCUAACUACGUGCCAGCCGCCGCAGUAA